GACAGAGGGGGCGAGCGUUGUUCGGAAUUACUGGGCGUAAAGGGCGCGUAGGCGGCCUCUUAAGUCGAACGUGAAAUCCCCGGGCUCAACCCGGGAACUGCGUCCGAUACUGGGAGGCUUGAAUCCGGGAGAGGGAUGUGGAAUUCCAGGUGUAGCGGUGAAAUGCGUAGAUAUCUGGAGGAACACCGGUGGCGAAGGCGGCAUCCUGGACCGGUAUUGACGCUGAGGCGCGAAAGCUAGGGGAGCAAACGGG
rnacentral:rRNA from 1 species